UAGUCAGAUGCCCGCUGGUUAGGGUGCUUAGCUGUUAACUAAGUAGUCGUGGGAUCGAAGCCCUCCUGAUUAG
rnacentral:tRNA from 1 species